CCCUUAGAUGUCCUGGGCCGCACGCGUGCUACACUGACACUUGCAACGAGUACUUUGCUUUACCGAAAGGUAACGCUAAUCAUCAAUAAGUGUCGUGAUGGGGAUAGAUCUUUGGAAUUAUGGAUCUUGAACGAGGAAUGCCUAGUAAGCGUAGGUCAUUAGCCUACGCUGAUUAAGUCCCUGCCCUUUGUACACACCGCCCGUCGCUCCUACCGAUUUCGAGUGGUCCGGUGAAACUUUUGGACCGUGCGACUUUAUUGUUGUCACGGAAAGUCAGUUAAACCAUACUACUUAGAGGAAGGAGAAGUCGUAACA
rnacentral:rRNA from 1 species